UACGUAGGGGGCAAGCGUUGUCCGGAUUUAUUGGGCGUAAAGAGCGUGUAGGCGGUUAGGUAGGUCCGUUGUGAAAACUCGAGGCUCAACCUCGAGACGCCGAUGGAAACCAUCUGACUAGAGUCCGGAAGAGGAGAGUGGAAUUCCUGGUGUAGCGGUGAAAUGCGCAGAUAUCUGGAAGAACACCCGUGGCUAAGGCGGCUCUCUAGUACGGUACUGACGCUGAGACGCGAAAGCGUGGGGGGCGAACAGG
rnacentral:rRNA from 1 species